rnacentral:rRNA from 1 species
CGUAACUAUAACGGUCCUAAGGUAGCGAAAUUCCUUGUCGGGUAAGUUCCGACCCGCACGAAAGGCGUAACGAUUUGGGCACUGUCUCAACGAGAGACUCGGUGAAAUCAUAGUACCGGUGAAGAUGCCGGUUACCCGCGACAGGACGGAAAGACCCCGUGGAGCUUUACUGUAGCCUGAUAUUGAAAUUCGGUACAGUUUGUACAGGAUAGGUAGGAGCCUUAGAAGCGUGAGCGCUAGCUUACGUGGAGGCAUUGGUGGGAUACUACCCUAAUUGUAUUGGAUUUCUAACCCGCAGCACUUAUCGUGCUGGGAGACAGUGUCAGGCGGGCAGUUUGACUGGGGCGGUCGCCUCCUAAAGAGUAACGGAGGCGCUCAAAGGUUCCCUCAGAAUGGUUGGAAAUCAUUCAUAGAGUGUAAAGGCAUAAGGGAGCUUGACUGCGAGACCUACAAGUCGAGCAGGGUCGAAAGACGGACUUAGUGAUCCGGUGGUUCCGCAUGGAAGGGCCAUCGCUCAACGGAUAAAAGCUACCCCGGGGAUAACAGGCUUAUCUCCCCCAAGAGUUCACAUCGACGGGGAGGUUUGGCACCUCGAUGUCGGCUCAUCGCAUCCUGGGGCUGUAGUCGGUCCCAAGGGUUGGGCUGUUCGCCCAUUAAAGCGGUACGCGAGCUGGGUUCAGAACGUCGUGAGACAGUUCGGUCCCUAUCCGUCGUGGGCGUAGGAAAUUUGAGAGGAGCUGUCCUUAGUACGAGAGGACCGGGAUGGACAUACCUCUGGUGUACCAGUUGUCGUGCCAACGGCAUAGCUGGGUAGCUAUGUAUGGACGGGAUAAGUGCUGAAAGCAUCUAAGCAUGAAGCCCCCCU